UCCAAUACAUAUAGGUCUAGUUGUUCGAGUUUUUGAGUCUCAUCUUUUCUAAUCAUCUUCUAGUCAUGCCUUUACUACUGGAAAAAUUUUGGAUAUAAUGCUGCUGAAAUGGCUUAGAAUUUUUGGUUUUCAUUAAUUGAAUUGUAAUUUUUGUUCUACUCUUACAGGAAAUUAUUUCGUAUUAAUUAUCGCAUUCAUAUUGAGAGCAGACAUAUGAAUGAAUGGUUGAAGAAAAAUAGGUGCGUUCUUCAAAAACGUUUGCAAGAUCACCUGACCGGAAGGGAGG